UACUGCACCCUAACCACUGCGCCACCUCGGCUCUUGGAAGGCUCUUGGAAGAAGAAGGUUUCUUCUUAUACAUUAAAGUAUUGUAAUUAUUUACUUUCUUACUUGCAGGACUAACAUUUACGACCUUCCUCUUCUCUAAUUCCCACCCCUUGCUUCUAUCCAUGCAUAGAACUUAUUCCAAAUCAUACAAUAUUCUGUAUCUUCUUGAUCUUUAAUUUUAAAGGUUAAUCUAACCAUUUCGGCAAAAAAAAAAUUUUGAAUUACAGCCUCAGCCCCCAGGUACCUUUUACUACAUGUAGUGGAGGUGUAGUAAAGCAAGAGAAUAUUGGGAGAAACUGACUGGAAAUGUUAGCCAAUGGGAGAAUUUGGGGUGCACUAAAAGAAUAUCCUAGAACGGCAUUGCUCUUCUGAGAAAUAAACUGGCAACUCUCGCUGUUGUCUUUUCCCCACUGUAUUAAUCUCAAAGUUGAAGGUAAAAAUAUGACAUUUCCCGUGUGUAUUUGUUUAAUCUUUUGGAAGCUGGCAUGAGGGAAAGCAAAACAGCAGACUUUAGCACUGGCUUUAUUUACACAUAUGCCGCUGGAAAUGACAGAGGUUCUUCAGGAAAAGAGAAACACUGGAGGGUUACAACUUAAUCCCAUCAUGGAAAGCACCUUCGGGGCUCAAAGCUGGACAAUCUGCAAGUUGCAACAAAGACCACAGCCUUGACCAGACCCAUCUGCAAACAGCUGGCAAAGGAGUCCCAUAAAAACUGGGAUUUCCAGUUCUUCCUACAGGCCAGGAACAAACCGUGAAGCCCAUCUGCAAAGCAGCCUUGAUGUACACUGAUCUUUUUUUUUUCCAGGCCUCCCCCCCUUCCCCAAAGAAACCCACCAACCCAGCCUCUCAAAGCCCCUUGGCGAGGGGCUUGCAAGCAAAACAACAAACAUCCAGCUUGGUCCGAGCUGGUGCCCCUGUCUACACAACCAUUGUGAUGUCCCUUUUUCCCACUGCACCCUCGACCAAGGAUAUUUCAUUUCAAUUUUAAGUCUCUGUCAAGCAUAUAUAAUAUAACCUUAAAUCAUUGCAAGGGAGGGGGGGGGCGAUUAGCAAUUUCCCACCUUGCCCCCCCAUCCCUGCCACUAAUUCUAAUUUCCUACCCUCCCCCUCUUCCCUCCCUCCGGAGUCACUUAGCCCUGAUUGAUGCCCCCCUCCCCAAAGAUAAAGUAUCCAGCUUCCUGGCCAGGGAGAUGGUCACUAGACAAAUGUUUGGAAGUCAAGGACUAGCGUACUGGAUAAUUUGCUCCAAAGACUCGGUGUCCAUGGGAAGGGAGGCCGAAGAGAAUCUUCCCCCGAAGACAAGACUUUUGAGAGUCCCUUUUGAACAGGCAUCUCGUCCAUUUGGAACAAAUUAGCAGGCUCUGGUUUGGUGCCAUUUCUCCAUAGGUGGGCACAGAAUUAUAGUCACAGUCAUUGCUUCAUCUUUUCCUGUUUCUGUCAUCUGACCAAGUUUCCUUGGCUCAUAAUCCCAAGGACAGCAGUGCUCUUUUUUAAAAAAUAAAAUAAAAUCUUGGAUCAUAUUGUUAAUAUCAACAGAAGGCCACUUCCUAAGUCACAAGUGAGAAGUAAUAUGUCCUAAAGAUACAUAUUGCCAUUAAGAUCUGCAAAAUGAAGCAAGAAAUCUUAGGAUAGAACAGAACAGAAUAGAGAAUAGCAUAGCAUAGCAUAGCAUAGCAUG